GCCUCUAUCAACUGUACCGCUCCCGCGGUCUUUUAAUCCGCAGGUCGUAGGUUCGAGCCCUACUGGGGGCACCA
rnacentral:tRNA from 1 species